AGAAACUUAGGUUAAAUAUAAACCAAGGGCCUUCAAAGCCCUAAAUAAGAGAGAACACUCCUAGUUUCUG
rnacentral:tRNA from 1 species